rnacentral:rRNA from 1 species
ACGCUGGCGGCGUGCUUAACACAUGCAAGUCGAACGAUGAAGCCUAGCUUGCUAGGUGGAUUAGUGGCGAACGGGUGAGUAAUACGUGAGUAACCUACCUUUAACUCUGGGAUAAGCCUGGGAAACUGGGUCUAAUACCGGAUACGACCAAUCUCCGCAUGGGGUGUUGGUGGAAAGCGUUAUGUAGUGGUUAUAGAUGGGCUCACGGCCUAUCAGCUUGUUGGUGAGGUAACGGCUCACCAAGGCGACGACGGGUAGCCGGCCUGAGAGGGUGACCGGCCACACUGGGACUGAGACACGGCCCAGACUCCUACGGGAGGCAGCAGUGGGGAAUAUUGCACAAUGGGCGCAAGCCUGAUGCAGCGACGCCGCGUGAGGGAUGACGGCCUUCGGGUUGUAAACCUCUGUUAGCAGGGAAGAAGAGAGAUUGACGGUACCUGCAGGGAAAGCGCCGGCUAACUACGUGCCAGCAGCCGCGGUAAUACGUAGGGCGCGAGCGUUGUCCGGAAUUAUUGGGCGUAAAGAGCUUGUAGGCGGUUUGUCGCGUCUGCUGUGAAAGGCCGGAGCUUAACUCCGUGUAUUGCAGUGGGUACGGGCAGACUAGAGUGCAGUAGGGGAGACUGGAAUUCCUGGUGUAGCGGUGGAAUGCGCGGAUAUCAGGAGGAACACCGAUGGCGAAGGCAGGUCUCUGGGCUGUAACUGACGCUGAGAAGCGAAAGCAUGGGGAGCGAACAGGAUUAGAUACCCUGGUAGUCCAUGCCGUAAACGUUGGGCACUAGGUGUGGGGGACAUUCCACGUUUUCCGCGCCGUAGCUAACGCAUUAAGUGCCCCGCCUGGGGAGUACGGCCGCAAGGCUAAAACUCAAAGAAAUUGACGGGGGCCCGCACAAGCGGCGGAGCAUGCGGAUUA